UACGGAGGGUGCAAGCGUUAAUCGGAAUUACUGGGCGUAAAGCGCACGCAGGUGGCUGAGUCAGUCGAUUGUGAAAGCCCUGGGCUUAACCUGGGAAUUGCAGUCGAUACUACUCGUCUAGAGUAUGGGAGAGGGCAGUGGAAUUCCCGGUGUAGCUGUGAAAUGCGUAGAUAUCGGGAGGAACAUCAGUGGCGAGGGCGGCUGCCUGGCCUAAUACUGUCACUCAGGUGCGUCUGCGUGUGGAGCAAACAGG
rnacentral:rRNA from 1 species